rnacentral:lncRNA from 1 species
CAUGCGAAGUUGAGCCUCGUUUCGCAGUUCGGGGAGGAGGUCUAGGUCGGCCCUCCGACAAUCAGAGUUGUCCGGCUCUUGAUACCGCUCGACCCUUGUAGACGGCAGUCCAAUCUCGAGUGGAAUCAUUGCCUCCGUUCCAUAGGCCAAGCUGAAAGGCGACUCCCCGGUCGGAAUGCGGGGGGUCAUUCGGUAAGCCCACAGAA